rnacentral:rRNA from 1 species
GAUGAACGCUGGCGGCGUGCUUAACACAUGCAAGUCGAACGGAAAGGCCAGUGCUUGCACUGGUACUCGAGUGGCGAACGGGUGAGUAACACGUGGGUGAUCUGCCCUGCACUUCGUGAUAAGCCUGGGAAACUGGUUCUAAUACCGGAUAGGACAAUGGGUUGGAUGCGGUUGUUGAAAGUUUUUUCGGUGUGGGAUGAGGUCGCGGCCUAUCAGCUUGAGUGUGGGGUAGUGGCCUACCAAGGCGUCGACGGGUAGCCGGCCUGAGAGGGUGUACGGCCAGACCAGGCCUGUACGAGGGGCCGCACUCCUACGGGAGGCAGCAGUGGGGAAUACUGCACCCUGGCCGGCCGCGUGAUGCAGCGACGCCGCGUGAGUGAUGACGGCCUUCGGGUUGUAAACUCCUUUCGAUAGGGACGACGCGUAUUUGUGACGGUACCUGGAGAAGAAGCACCGGCUAACUACGUG